ensembl:lncRNA
CUGCUACAAGGUUUACCAACACUUGAAGUUUAAUAUGUCAAAUGUUUCUACAAGAUAAUAACCACUAGCAUCACAUGAUCACUAACCACCACAUGUUCAGACUCACCUCAGCUGUGAGAUGUAGGACAGACACUGAAGGAAACUCCUCACUUCACUCUCUUCAUCUGACCAGCCCUUCAGCUCUACUGGUUUCUUCUCUGGUUGGAGUUUCAGCACUUCUAGGAGGAGGGAGGCCUUUCUCUCUGAGAGGUCUAUGGACCAGACUGCAGGAGCUGACUGGUAAAGUGGCUGCAAUGAUGGAAGGACACUCCUGGCUGUUUGAUUCCUAUUGUACUUCACAUGAGAGUACAGAUCCAGCAGGAUGUCAUAUCUCUCAGUUUGAUACACAGAGAACAGUGACAGCAGUGUGUUCACAGUUCUCUGGAAUGUUUCUCUGUGAUCUAGUGCUGCUUGUAGACACAAAUCUAGUAGGACUGCUUUCUCUUCUGUCUCCAGUCUUUCAGGGGAUCCUCUCUGAUGUUGUAGAGGAGUAAACCUGUGACCCAUAAAACACAAGAAUGUCUAUGUUCAGAAG